rnacentral:rRNA from 1 species
AUUGAACGCUGGCGGCAUGCCUUACACAUGCAAGUCGAACGGCAGCACGGGAGCAAUCCUGGUGGCGAGUGGCGAACGGGUGAGUAAUACAUCGGAACGUGCCCAGUAGUGGGGGAUAGCCCGGCGAAAGCCGGAUUAAUACCGCAUACGACCUGAGGGUGGAAAGCGGGGGAGUCGCAAGACCUCGCGCUAUUGGAGCGGCCGAUGUCAGAUUAGCUAGUUGGGGGGUAAAGGGCCUACCAAGGCUACGAUCUGUAGUUGGUCUGAGAGGACGACCAGCCACACUGGGACUGAGACACGGCCCAGACUCCUACGGGAGGCAGCAGUGGGGAAUUUUGGACAAUGGGGGCAACCCUGAUCCAGCAAUGCCGCGUGCAGGAAGAA